rnacentral:rRNA from 1 species
AGUGAACGCUGGCGGCGUGCCUAAUACAUGCAAGUCGAGCGACAAGACAGUAAGCUUUCUCCUCUACGGUUGGCGACGGGCGGGUGGGUAACGCGUAGAUAACCUACCUAUUUUACUUGGAUGACAACGGGAGGCCGCAGAUGAUACCAGCGCAUAUGAUGAACGGGAGAGAUCAAUAGUGCAUGGCAGCUUUCCUGUCACAAUUAGCUGGAUCCGCGCCGGAUUAGCUAGUUGGUAAGGUAACGGCUCACCAAGGCAACGAUGCGUAGCUGAUCUGAGAGGGUGAUCAGCCACACUGGAACUGAGACACGGUCCAGACUCCUACGGGAGGCAGCAGUAGGGAAUAUUGGGCAAUGGGCGAAAGCCUGACGCAGCAACGCCGCGUGAGUGAUGAAGGUCUUCGGAUCGUAAAACUCUGUUAUUAGGGAAGAACAAAUGUGGAAUUAUCCCUCGACGUUCUGACGGUACCCAAACAGAAAGCCCCGGCUAACUUCGUG